CCUCCUCCUCCUCCUCCUCCCCCACCUCCCCCCCCUGUGUGUGUGUACGUGCUGAGGUGAGCUGAAGCACAGAAAAGGUGGCAUGUGGAGGCACCCGCUCAGGGCUACAAGGACCCGGCUGUUCCCUGCUUUGUUUACUCAGGACAAAUAAUACAGACAGCUCAUAAACCUGCAGGCCGGAGUGGAGGAAGAGUACGAGCCAAAGUCCAGUGUUGGAGAUACUGAUGGAGGUGCAGUUGUUCAGGAGAAUCCUGCAGCCCUGGUUUGCUGUGACGCCCCAGAAAUGUUGUGGAUGAAGAAACUAAAUGUGGCUUCCCAUCAGCACGGGGAGAGAUGUAGCCCUCGAUCAGGGAGAAGGAGAAGAAGCGGAUGUGGCUGGAGUCCUCGCUGGAUGCUCCGGGCUCCUUUGGCCUGUAAAGAAAGAUCGUGAGCAGCAACAGUCUCCCCGUUGACCACCCGAAGCAAAGUGAAUUCGGAAGACAGCGUGUGCAUGACCAUCGGCAGGUCUCGCUCUCGAACCUGAGGACAAACACGGGAACGAGGUGAGUGGAGAUCAAACUCAGAGAGGAGGAAAUCCCAUUUUCACAUACUCGGUGAGUAGUACAGUGAGUUACUGUGUGAUCAAAGUGCAUGAUUUGCAACAAGCAAUGGCGCUUGUGUCUCAGCCUCUGAUGAGUACAGGAGUACACACACUGCGUUAUCAGGACUGUGCAGUACGUCAAACGCCGAAGCGGCUCGAGGAAAUUCACUGGAACAACAACUAAGAGGAAAACAAAAUGAUUUCAGCUAGAACAGAACUAAAUACAAAUAGACAAAGAUAAUGGAGAGGAUGCAGUAAUAAACUCCAGAUAAUAAGAGCAGAGGGGAGAAAUUAGUCAAAGUCACUUCGAUUUGAAAGCCACUGAAGUCGGAGUGCGUCUAAGUGUAUCAGGAAGUGGAUGUUUCUCUAAAACAAAGAAACACUGUGAUCAUAUCGUCCUGAUAGGAUCCCAUAAAAAUCCUUUCGCCCCCUCUGGUCUUUGUGUAGCUGCCGUAUGAGGGCUGGAAACCGAAGGUCACAAGGUCGCUGCAGACACUAAGAUUUCUAUCUGUCUUCAGCAAAAUUUAGGUCAAAGGGAAAUAUGGAUGAAUGGGGGGAAGGAGGGUCAAAGCUAUCAAAAACUACAUGAACUCACAUAAAAAGUUUUUGUUUUAGUUUCACAGGUUUUCCUUUUCUAAUUUAGCUGUCGUGCAGAGCAGCACCUGACUGUCAUACAUAAUGCAAUCUUCAUCUGCCGGCGAAAAAGAAGAAGAGCAUGAAGCAUAAAGUGCAUUUGGGGGGUGACAGAGUGUUUCCUCACUCAAAGUGACGGCUAUCCCUUGAACUGAAUUGCUGUGUGUGUGUGUGUGUGUGUGUGUGAGGAAGGUGAGGUUGUGUAGCUGCUCUGAGCGGCUGGACUCAGUCAGGACAUACUUAUGCCUCCGUCUGAAUCAUUGCAUUCAACAUUUGGGUCAGACUUUACUGCUUUAUGUAACACAAAAGAUCCUAACGGUGGAAAGAAAAAAAACAAAAACCCCACACAUCUUAAGCUGGUCUGUCUUUCGGUCUGCCCGGAGAUUCAGUAAUGCAAUCCGACACAGCGUGAGACGAGGACAGAGAGGGAAUCUGGGUGGUGGGUGUGGGCGGCAGGUUUUUCUCUCUGUUUAUCUAACGUAUCGAUAAUUAGGAUUGUGGCUCGGAGCAGCCAGCGUGGAGACCGGAAAUAAGUCCAAAUGAUACCUGGAAUUCCAGCAAGAGGCUGAGCUGCCGAUCCCCUUUACGUAACAGAUUAUCAACAACGACGCACGUUUUUUCUUUCAUUUUCAUGAACAUGCCAGAGCUGCUCAGCAGGCCUUGUUUUUCCACCAAAGCAAGGCAAUAAAAAAAAACACUCCCUGUGGCCAGAAAGGCUUCGGUAUGAGAGAGGAUUUCUUCCAAAAUCAAAGGAAGUUGGGGCUGUGGAAGGUACACUAUAUCCAAGGUUAUUGCACUGUGUGGACAUAAACAAUUGUGUUGCCAGUGGUUGCAUAAUAGACAAAUAAUGCAACUCUUAAAGCAUGCUGAGAGCCUGAGAACCGACACAAGUGGCCAGUGACAAGGGACAAAUCAAGAAAACUUUACCAUCAGCUCUGAUCAAAUUUACUCAGCAUGUAUUGCAUUGAUUAUUGGCUUUUUCCUUAUGCUAUUUUUGCUCGUCGACGUUUGUUUAAUACAUUUUAAAUCCCUUAAAGUUGAAGAUCAUGUCACUGCAGAAUAGGUUGAGGUUGUUUGUUGUUUGUG